UACUUUAUUUAACACUUAUUAAACCUUUUGUUUGGAAAACAAAUAUACUACUUAUACUAAUAAAAU
rnacentral:tRNA from 1 species